UAAUUUCUAAUUCUUAUCUUAAAUGGUUAAUUCCAUUUUUAUUUU
rnacentral:tRNA from 1 species